GGUUAAGCGACUAAGCGUACACGGUGGAUGCCCUGGCAGUCAGAGGCGAUGAAGGGCGUGCUAAUCUGCGAUAAGCGCCGGUAAGGUGAUAUGAACCGUUAUAACCGGCGAUACCCGAAUGGGGAAACCCAGUGUGAUUCGUCACACUAUCAUUAACUGAAUCCAUAGGUUAAUGAGGCGAACCGGGGGAACUGAAACAUCUAAGUACCCCGAGGAAAAGAAAUCAA
rnacentral:rRNA from 1 species